rnacentral:rRNA from 1 species
GACGAACGCUGGCGGCGUGCUUAACACAUGCAAGUCGAACGGAAAGGCCCUGCUUUUGUGGGGUGCUCGAGUGGCGAACGGGUGAGUAACACGUGAGUAACCUGCCCUUGACUUUGGGAUAACUUCAGGAAACUGGGGCUAAUACCGGAUAGGAGCUCCUGCUGCAUGGUGGGGGUUGGAAAGUUUCGGCGGUUGGGGAUGGACUCGCGGCUUAUCAGCUUGUUGGUUGGGUAGUGGCUUACCAAGGCUUUGACGGGUAGCCGGCCUGAGAGGGUGAGCGGCCAGAAGGGUACCAAGGAAACGCUCGAUACACACAGGGGAGCAAAAGUGGGGGAAGGAGGAAGAUGGGGUGUACCCGGAAGGAUCGAGCUCGCGGGGGGAAGGGGUGGCUGAUGUGGGUAAUCCGCUUUCCCCUGUGACGAACCGAGAGUGACGGUAAUGGGUAAAGAAACAUCGGCCAAGUGCCUG